UAGGGAAUAUUGCGCAAUGGGCGAAAGCCUGACGCAGCAACACCGCGUGAAGGAUGAAGCUUUUCGGAGUGUAAACUUCUGUCGGCAGGGAAGAAUUUUGACGGUACCUGCAAAGGAAGCAUCGGCUAACUACGUGCCAGCAGCCGCGGUAAGACGUAGGAUGCAAGCGUUGUCCGGAAUUAUUGGGCGUAAAGAGUUCGUAGGUGGUUUGUUAAGUCUGGUGUUAAAUCUCGGGGCUCAACCCCGAUACAGCAUUGGAAACUGAUUGACUAGAGUGCGGUAGAGGUAACGAGAAUUCCUGGUGUAGCGGUGAAAUGCGUAGAUAUCAGGAGGAAUGCCGGAGGCGAAAGCGCGUUACUGGGCCGUAACUGACACUGAGGAACGAAAGCCAGGGGAGCGA
rnacentral:rRNA from 1 species